rnacentral:tRNA from 1 species
GGAUGUUUAGCUCAGCGGGAGAGCAGUUCCAUCACACGGAAAAGGUCAUAGGUUCAAUCCCUAUAACAUCCACCA